rnacentral:misc_RNA from 1 species
UGAGGGCGCUCCGGCGCCCGCUGACCUCACCAUCCAUUGCCAUCGUAACACGUACGAGCGGGCUCGCGACGGCCGUGAGGCCGGAGCGACCCGCCACAGACCAGUCGCCGUGGGCUCGCGAGAGCGGCCCACCCCCCGACGCAGUGAGCCCAUCGCCGGGCGUUUCGGCGGUGGGAGUGAGCUGUGUCGGGGCGAAGCGUCCGGAAACGCCCCGGCGUGACUGCGUGCACGCCCCCCUGGCGCGAUGGCGCCUGCGGGGGGUUCCUACCCAUCCAGUCGUCAGCAACGUCUGAGUCCUCAAGGGCUAAAUUUUGAAAACAACUUUCAACAGUGGAUCUCUUGGCAUUGGCAUCGAUGAAGAACGCAGCAAACCGCGAUAUGUGGUGUCAUUUGCAACGCUUGUCAUCGAAUCUUUGAACGCACAUUGCGCCCUCCGGUACUCCGUUGGGCACGCCCGUCUCAGCGUCAUUACACCCCUCAAGCUCCCGCUUGGUCUUGGGCGCGGUCCUCCCCCGGACCCGCCUCGAAUCCGCGGGCGGGUCGCAUCCACCCCCCGGCGUUGCAGAGCCUCUCGAGCCUCGCCGCGGCGGUAGUUGCGCCCCAGCCCCAUAACCGCCCCCCGUGGGCAGCGCCUCGCGGCGUACCAAGUUUGACCUGAGAUCGGGCGGGUAUACGCGCCGAACUUAAGCAUAUUACUCAGCGCAGGAAAAGAAAGCAACAGCGAUUGGGUCAGUAGCGGCGAGCGAAGCCCCAAGAGUCCGGUUUUGAAAGCUCCUUCGGGCGCGUUGUAGCCGGAGGCGUCCUUGGCCGACGGCCCAUCCCAAGUCCCAUGGAACUGGGCGCCGUAGAGGGUGAGAGCCCCGUACGGAUGGGUCCGACGCCGUGCAAGGUGCCCUCAAAGAGUCACGUUGUUUGGGAAUGCAGCGUAAAGACGAGGUAAAUUUCUCGUGAAGACUAAAUAUCUGCCAAUGACCGAUAGCGCACAAGUAGCGUGAGCGAAAGAUGAAAACUAUGCUGAAAAGCAAGUUAAAAGAAGGUGAAACUGUUGGAGGGGAAGGCGUGGCACCCAGACGUAGGACGGCCGAUCAGCUUCGGCGCACUCGGCCGCUCCUAGGCCAGCACAGUCGCCGCGGGCUUACAAAAGCGGACGCGACCCCUCCGGGGGUCGCCCCGUGGAAUGGGCCCAGCGGCGGUUGACGACCGCAAGGUACGCUGGCGUAAUGGGAAUCACGCGCCCGUCUUGAAACACGGACCAAGGAGUCGAGCAGUGGUGCGAGUCUACGGGCUUCAAGCCCCGAGGCGCAGUGAAAGCGACAGGGUGGAACUUCGGUGCACACCCGGCCGGGCCCGAUGCUUGCGGAAGGUUCUGAGCAAGAGCAUCACUGUUCGGACCCGAAAGAUGGCGAACUAUGGCUGAGCAGGGUGAAGGCAUCGGAAACGGUGCUGGAGGCCCGAAGAGGUUCUGACGUGCAAAUCGAUC